rnacentral:tRNA from 1 species
GCGAAAGUGGCGGAAUUGGUAGACGCACCAGAUUUAGGUUCUGACGGGUAACCCCCGUGCGGGUUCGAGUCCCGCCUUUCGCACCA